rnacentral:rRNA from 1 species
GACGAACGCUGGCGGCGUGCUUGACACAUGCAAGUCGAACGGAAAGGCCUGCUUUCCCUUGUGGAUUGCGGGUACUCGAGUGGCGAACGGGUGAGUAGCACGUGAGUGAUCUGCCCCCAACUUGGGUAUAAGCCUGGGAAACUGGGUCUAAUUCCCGAUAGGACUGCAGGGUGGUGCCUGUGGUGGAAAACGAUUUUCUAGUGGUUGGGGAUGAGCUCGCGGCCUAUCAGCUUGUUGGUGGGGUAAUGGCCUACCAAGGCGGCGACGGGUAGCCGGCCUGAGAGGGUGGACGGCCACAUUGGGACUGAGAUACGGCCCAGACUCCUACGGGAGGCAGCAGUGGGGAAUAUUGCACAAUGGGCGGAAGCCUGAUGCAGCGACGCCGCGUGGGGGAUGACGGCCUUCGGGUUGUAAACUCCUUUCGACCGCGAGGAAGCCACCUGGUUGGAAGGGUGGUGACGGUAGUGGUAGAAGAAGCACCGGCUAACUACGUG